CUGUUUUCGCCGGUAGAAACCCCGCGGCCCCGCAGGCGCCCGGGGGCGCUGGUUGGCUGGGGGUCUGCGUGUGGCGGGUUGGGCGCUUGAGUGCUGGGGAACACUCGGAAGUCGUUUUAGCCCCCUUCUGUAUUUUCUUUUAUUAUUGAAUCCUAAAACAGCCCGAAGAAGGAGGGGGGGCGGUAAGGAUUAGGGAUGCUUGCCUCCCAUUCAGAGAUAAGGAAACUGAGGUUCAGAAAGGCUGCCAGACACCAUGAAUCUAUGAGAGCGUCACUUGUUGUCUCUUGCCUCCUUUUCUCUCCCAGCAAAUAUAAUCUGGGGGCACCUGGGCCCCACCAGACCGGCCUCUCUGAUCACACUCAAGGAUUAACAAUCAGAAGGGAGAAGGUGAUGUGAAGCGGAGCAGAGGGCGAUUUCAAGGCGACCGUGGCGAAGACGGCACCGAGCAGCCACGAGCCAAGGACCGCUCGCGGCCACCGGAAGCCGGAAGAGAGAAGCCAGAGGCGCGAAGCCGGAAGAGAAAAGGCACGGAUCCUCCCCCAGAGCCUACGGGGGCCGGGUGGCCCGAUGGACGUUCAGUUUCCACCCAGCGAUCCCGAUUUCCGAUUUCUGGCCUCCGGAACCGUCAUGAGACAAUAAAUCAUCACAUUUGUGGCAAUUUGUUACAGCA